AGCUGAAGCAUGUGUUUCUGUCAAGGCCUUUAUGCUUCUGUGAGGGAGAAAAGCUGCUCGUUCUGUGUUCUCCUCUCACUUCUGUCUCUUCGGCUGCAGACUCUGGAACACGGUGGACACUAAUGAGACCCCGUCCUCCUCUCUGUCUCUUCAUUGCUGUUUCCGGUUGACGGGCUGGCGAGCUUCUCCCAGAGUUACAGCAUGAGCUCCGCUGCACCCAAACCGGACCCUGACAGGCUGCUUCCUCCGUCUGGACGGGCGAGCUUCACGUCAUCAGGAGGAGCGAGGAGCCAAAGCAAAGCCUUCAGAUGCAGCAGCAGCACAAAGACAAAGAAAUCCUCUGAGACGACUGAGGUUCCUCUGAGGAACCCUGGGUGGUGUAAACAGGUAAAACAGAAGAAUCAUUUAUGCACGUUAAGUUCGGUUUGUCUCAAACAUAAACAGCAGCUUCGCUUCUCAUCAUUGUUUCACUUUAACGCUCAUCCAUAAAGAAUGAUUGGAAGAUAAACGUAGGGCACGUUCACUAAAGGCAAAGGUAACCUUCAGGUUUGGGAUCCUGCAGAAACCUUUUCUGUGAUGUAGUGGAGUUAAACCUAAAGCUACGAUUGCAGUUAAGAU